rnacentral:rRNA from 1 species
GGAAUAUUGGACAAUGGGUGAAAGCCUGAUCCAGCCAUCCCGCGUGAAGGAUGACGGUCCUAUGGAUUGUAAACUUCUUUUGUAUAGGGAUAAACCUAGAUACGUGUAUCUAGCUGAAGGUACUAUACGAAUAAGCACCGGCUAACUCCGUGCCAGCAGCCGCGGUAAUACGGAGGGUGCAAGCGUUAUCCGGAUUUAUUGGGUUUAAAGGGUCCGUAGGCGGACCGAUAAGUCAGUGGUGAAAUCUCAUAGCUUAACUAUGAAACUGCCAUUGAUACUGUCGGUCUUGAGUAAAUUUGAAGUGGCUGGAAUAAGUAGUGUAGCGGUGAAAUGCAUAGAUAUUACUUAGAACACCAAUUGCGAAGGCAGGUCACUAAGAUUUAACUGACGCUGAGGGACGAAAGCGUGGGUAGCGAACAGGAUUAGAUACCCGGG